rnacentral:tRNA from 1 species
GAGGGUAUAGCUCAGUGGUAGAGUGCUUGCCUAGCAUGCAGGAGGUCUGGGUUCAAUCCCCAGUAUCACCA